GAGAGAUCGGGCGUUCCCCUUCGGGGGGACAGGGUGACAGGUGGUGCAUGGUUGUCGUCAGCUCGUGUCGCGAGAUGUUGGGUUAAGUCCCGCAACGAGCGCAACCCUCGACCUUAGUUGCCAGCAUUCAGUUGGGCACUCUAAGGUGACUGCCGGCUAAAAGUCGGAGGAAGGUGGGGAUGACGUCAAAUCAUCAUGCCCCUUAUGACCUGGGCUACACACGUGCUACAAUGGGCGGUACAAAGGGUCGCGAACCCGCGAGGGGGAGCCAAUCCCAAAAAGCCGCUCUCAGUUCGGAUUGCAGGCUGCAACUCGCCUGCAUGAAGCCGGAAUCGCUAGUAAUCGCGGAUCAGCAUGCCGCGGUGAAUACGUUCCCGGGCCUU
rnacentral:rRNA from 1 species